UACAGAGGGUGCAAGCGUUGUUCGGAAUCAUUGGGCGUAAAGGGCUCGUAGGCGGCCAACUAAGUCAGACGUGAAAUCCCUCGGCUUAACCGGGGAACUGCGUCUGAUACUGGAUGGCUUGAGGUUGGGAGAGGGAUGCGGAAUUCCAGGUGUAGCGGUGAAAUGCGUAGAUAUCGUAAGGAAGACCAGUGGCGAAGGCGGGUCUCUGGACAGUUCCUGACGCUGAGGCACGAAGGUCAGGGGAGCAAACGGG
rnacentral:rRNA from 1 species